GCCGGGGUAGCUCAGUUGGUUAGAGCACAUCACUCAUAAAGAUGAGGUCGGCAGUUCGAUCCUGCCCCCCGGCACCA
rnacentral:tRNA from 1 species